rnacentral:rRNA from 1 species
CCUACGGGAGGCAGCAGUGGGGAAUAUUGCGCAAUGGGCGAAAGCCUGACGCAGCGACGCCGCGUGAGGGAUGAAGGUCUUCGGAUCGUAAACCUCUGUCAGCAGGGAAGAACGGUCACUGUGCUAAUCAGCAGUGAAUUGACGGUACCUGCAAAGGAAGCACCGGCUAACUCCGUGCCAGCAGCCGCGGUAAUACGGAGGGGGCGAGCGUUAAUCGGAAUUACUGGGCGUAAAGCGCUCGUAGGCGGUAUGUCAAGUCAAGGGUGAAAGCCCCGGGCUCAACGGGGGAACUGCCUUUGAGACUGGCAGACUGGAGUGUGUGAGAGGAUGGUGGAAUUCGAGGUGUAGGAGUGAAAUGCGUAGAUAUCUGGAGGAACAUCGAUUGCGAAGGCGACUAUCUGGCACAUAACUGACGCUGAGGAGCGAAAGCGUGGGUAGCAAACAGGAUUAGAUACCCUGGUAGUC